UGGCACCCCCUUUCGAGAGCAAAAGCUGCCUCAGGUCAGGCGCUGGCUGUUCCUUCUUUCUGUGCCUGGUCCAUCAAAGCUGAUUGAUCGAUCGAUCGAUCGAUUGAUUGGUUAAUUGGACAAAUGGAUCCUGUGGCCUCUGGGCCUAGUAAUAGCCAACGGGGCUUUAAGGUUUGCAAAGUACCUUAGGUAUAAUAAUAAUGGGCAAGGAGGGGCUCUGUGGACAAGAGAGCCAGGCCUGGAGACCGGAGAUCCCGGGUUCCGAUUUGGCCUCAGACGCAUCGUAGCUGUGGGACCUUGUCAAGUCACUUAACCCCCAUUGGCCCAUCUUUACCGCCCAUCUUCAUUGGAACUUGUAUGCAGCCUUAAUUCUAAGAUGGAAGAACCUCAAGAGAGAAGGAUGAUGGAGUGGAUAGAAUGGUGAACUUGGAACCAAGAAGACGUGGGUUCAAAUGCCAUCUUAGAUGCUAGUUGUGAAUGACCGUGGCAUAUCAUUACAUCAAAGAUUAAACUCUUCCAGUGGAAAGUUGGGUAGAAGUUCCUUAAGUGCACAGGUUGAAUUCAUUAAGAAAUGUUGCCAAGUCAUACUGCUUGUCUUCUCAAUGGGUGAGGGAGGACCUGAAGAGAGAGACUUUGAAACUGAAUUUGUAAAAAUAAUAGUAAUAAUAAAAUAAAGAAAAAAGAAAUAUUCUCAAGUCUACAGCAAAAGCUGAUUUCCCAAACCAUUCAGGGUUCGAUGAGAAUAGUAAAAGUUCAGAAGGCCUUUUCAUUCAGAGAGAGGCUUGG
rnacentral:lncRNA from 1 species